rnacentral:misc_RNA from 1 species
GUGAAUCAUCGAAUCUUUGAACGCAAAUUGCACUCUCCUCGGAGAGUAUGCCUGUUUGAGGGUCAGCCUAUAAAAAAUCGGCGUCGUGGCUGUUGCGCGGUAACGUGCGGCGGAAAUUGAGUCAUCUUAAGUCUUGGGGGUGAAGCGUCUUAAACAUUUCUGUUUGAUUCCGUUAACGUGUCGAAGGUUCAUUGCUUGACACGUGUAAGGAAUUGAUUGAGUAGAGGGGGCGGUAAUAUCGUAUC